rnacentral:rRNA from 1 species
GAUCCUGGCUCAGGACGAACGUUGGCGGCGUGUCUAAGGCAUGCAAGUCGAGCGAAUCAUUAUUUGUAGCAAUACUUGUGAUGGUAGUGGCAAACGGGUGCGUAACACAUUGGUAAUCUGCCUUCUAGUCGGGCAUAACUCACCGAAAGGUGAGCUAAUUCCACGAUACACUCCACAUGUUAGUAGUGUGAGAGGAAAGCGCAAAAACGCGCUAGAAGAGGAGCCUAUGGCCUAUCAGCUUGUUGGUGAGGUAACGGCUCACCAAGGCUAUGACGGGUAGGGGGUGUGAGAGCAUGACCCCCCUCACUGGGACUGAGACACUGCCCAGACACCUACGGGUGGCUGCAGUCGAGAAUUUUCCUCAAUGGACGAAAGUCUGAAGGAGCGACGCCGCGUGCAGGAUGAAGGGCUUCGGCCCGUAAACUGCUUUUGCUAGGGAAGAAUCAUGACGGUACCUAGAGAAUAAGUGGUUGCUAACUCUGUG